rnacentral:rRNA from 1 species
AGAACCCAACGGGAUACUAGUGGGUAACCUGUAGACCAGUCAGCCGACGACGGAUAUACUUGAAAGAUGACCUUUCCAGGACAAAGGUCCACGUUGAUUAUUACUAUACGAAGCAGAAGUAUACCUUGACUUCCCGGGGAAGGGAUUCUUCUACGAGGCUUUCCCACGAAAGUGCUACGUUGUGAAACUGGUUCUAGAGUUAAAAUUGCGAUAACUCCUUCUAGGACACUGGUUUUUCGGAUACUCCUUCAACUAAGAAUUGUAGUUUGACUUCCUAAAACCAAGAAACCAAAGUUUAAAAGGACCGCUCCUGGGUUUUUACGAGAGGUUAAAAUUUCUGGAAGAACUUUUUUAUAAACAGAAUCUAGGUCUAUUCUCCUAUUGGCAUAGUGUCCGUGAAUCGGUAGGUAAAUAGUGACCGUUCACUUUUAUUCUACAACUAAGGAGAACUGUAACAUUUGAUGUUAAACCCAAGGAGAACAGAUUAGUAGCCGUAAAGAUAGAACACAGACCCUCGAUACUCUAGACUCACGCACGGUUUACCUGCUUCGUACCCCAACGACUUCUCUACGACAGAAUGCCUGGAACGACGUACGUGAAUGGUAAACCUAUCAAGACAACGAACCAAAGACGGUCCCGGAGACGACGUACGUGAAUAUAUAGGAUUUCCUGGUUGUCUUCUUCCAUGGGACCAACAAUAGACCCAUUGAACACACAAACUUGUGGUAUAUUGUAAUAAAGGGGGGAUAACUUUAGACUACUAAGACGCUAAUUAAAACGAUCUGCUCAGUACACAUCUACAUCACUAUGACUUCCACGGGACCAACUAUAGACCCAUUGAACACAAACUUGUGGUAUCUUGUAGUAAAGAAAAAGAGAAAACUUUAGACUACUAAGACAGUAAUUAAAACGAUCUACUCAGUACACAUCCGCAUUACUAUGACUUCCACGGGACCAACUGUAGACCCAUUGAACACACCAACUUGUG